AAAUUGUGAGAGCGACAGAGGACCAUGUUUGGGCUGUGUCCCCAAAUCCACCCACGGCAUGCUUUCCUCUCAUUCUCAGAUUCACCAAAGCACUCGUUUCCCUUGCGGUCUCUGCCACUUCUCAGCCCUUUCGCCACCGCUCGUCCCCUAGUCAAAAGCAGCAGCAGCAACCAAUACAAAGCACGAGCAAGGUUUGGUCUAUACGCUGUCGACUAUAGUAAUGUCAGGCCUUCGUGCAUAAACAGCGAAUGGGGUGAUGGGUUGGACAGGGUGAAGAAGCUUCUUCAAGAGCUCUCCGAGACGAGACCGGAUAACCAAUUUUUAGGCUGAGUUUCAAUAUCUUGUUUAAUUGCUUUUAACUAUUCGACGUUUUCCCACUUCUUUUGAGCUGUUCACUGUGAAUAAAAGUAAGUAAAUACU
rnacentral:misc_RNA from 1 species